ensembl:antisense 1700085C21Rik RIKEN cDNA 1700085C21 gene
GAACAACUGGCAUCUUUUAAAAAGCAGAUACCAGAAGGCUUGUUCUCUUCACACACGUGCACAGAGUUGGCUGAUGAGGAGGAAGAACGAGCCCUCGUCCUGCCCUGAGCCCUGCUGGACUUUGCCCGUGUACGUUUCAGCUUCCUAAAAUUAGGACUUCUGAGAUACCUCAACUAUCCCCAACUGGUUUAGAUGUGAGAAAAUAAGCUGCCCAACAACAAAUGAAGAUGUAUUUUGGGGCCUGUUUGACAGACAGGGUUGGAAAUGCUGCCACUUCAUUGCUGCCAUAGUGGAACAGCUUGUCACGGCGCAUAAUUUCUUCUUCUCUGAAAGCCUGGCCCAAGAUCUGCACACUGCCCCCCCCCCCCAACUGCUUUUGUUUAAGACUCAACCAUGGCCACCAAGCAAGCCAAAAUGUAUAGUCACUUUGAGUGUCUGCCCGAAUGAUAAUUGUUGCGGUGUCCUCGGGUGACAUCUGAAGUGCUGGACAGUUGACAAGAGACAGCGCAGUGGAGUCUCUGCCAGUUGUCCCGUCUCCCAGACUCUCACGUCGCUUCCUGGGACAAUGCCAUGUUUUUCCUCUCUUUCUGCCCCGGAGGACUCCAUUUGUCCUGGCUGUCACACAGUUUCAUUCCUUUCUGUGGACCAACACCAUGUGAGGACGCCUCAUUUUAGGUGAGGGCUGAAUACCAGAAAUGUUGCGCACAAGCUGAAAGCCAGUGGAACGCAAGGGUGAGCCACUGGCAGGAGAGAGACUCUGAUCUAAGCUGUCCCCAUCUGUCAAGGUCUCCUCUCUCAGUCCCUCCCUAAGGAACCCCCUCUGGAUUUCUGCCAGUGAUCUUCUUGUAUGGCACCCAACUCGCAGCUUGCAUGGAAUAUGUCACAUGCUAUGUAUGUGCUGUGUGUUAUGUGUUAUCGGAAGUUCAAGAUUUUUGUUUUCUACAUUCUUUUAAGCUUUCGGAGGGCAGGGGACACACACUUUCUUAUGGCCUUUCAUCCUCUAACCUCCUACAGAAUGGUUUAAGGGGCUAGACCUGUAUUUGAGAUAUUAAACUAAAGCUAUAUUAUACUUCACCAAGAUG